rnacentral:misc_RNA from 1 species
UACAGAGGGUGCGAGCGUUAAUCGGAUUUACUGGGCGUAAAGCGUACGUAGGUGGUCUUUUAAGUCGGAUGUGAAAUCCCUGAGCUUAACUUAGGAAUUGCAUUCGAUACUGGGAGACUAGAGUAUGGGAGAGGAUGGUAGAAUUCCAGGUGUAGCGGUGAAAUGCGUAGAGAUCUGGGGGAAUACCGAUGGCGAAGGCAGCCAUCUGGCCUAAUACUGACGCUGAGGUACGAAAGCAUGGGGAGCAAACAGG